rnacentral:rRNA from 1 species
CAGGCCUAACACAUGCAAGUCGAACGGUAACAGGAAGCAGCUUGCUGCUUUGCUGACGAGUGGCGGACGGGUGAGUAAUGUCUGGGAAACUGCCCGAUGGAGGGGGAUAACUACUGGAAACGGUAGCUAAUACCGCAUAACGUCGCAAGACCAAAGAGGGGGACCUUCGGGCCUCUUGCCAUCGGAUGUGCCCAGAUGGGAUUAGCUUGUUGGUGAGGUAACGGCUCACCAAGGCGACGAUCCCUAGCUGGUCUGAGAGGAUGACCAGCCACACUGGAACUGAGACACGGUCCAGACUCCUACGGGAGGCAGCAGUGGGGAAUAUUGCACAAUGGGCGCAAGCCUGAUGCAGCCAUGCCGCGUGUAUGAAGAAGGCCUUCGGGUUGUAAAGUACUUUCAGCGGGGAGGAAGGUGUUGUGGUUAAUAACCGCAGCAAUUGACGUUACCCGCAGAAGAAGCACCGGCUAACUCCGUGCCAGCAGCCGCGGUAAUACGGAGGGUGCAAGCGUUAAUCGGAAUUACUGGGCGUAAAGCGCACGCAGGCGGUCUGUCAAGUCGGAUGUGAAAUCCCCGGGCUCAACCUGGGAACUGCAUUCGAAACUGGCAGGCUUGAGUCUCGUAGAGGGGGGUAGAAUUCCAGGUGUAGCGGUGAAAUGCGUAGAGAUCUGGAGGAAUACCGGUGGCGAAGGCGGCCCCCUGGACGAAGACUGACGCUCAGGUGCGAAAGCGUGGGGAGCAAACAGGAUUAGAUACCCUGGUAGUCCACGCCGUAAACGAUGUCUAUUUGGAGGUUGUUCCCUUGAGGAGUGGCUUCCGGAGCUAACGCGUUAAAUAGACCCCCUGGGGAGUACGGCCGCAAGGUUAAAACUCAAAUGAAUUGACGGGGGCCCGCACAAGCGGUGGAGCAUGUGGUUUAAUUCGAUGCAACGCGAAGAACCUUACCUGGUCUUGACAUCCACAGAACUUUCCAGAGAUGGAUUGGUGCCUUCGGGAACUGUGAGACAGGUGCUGCAUGGCUGUCGUCAGCUCGUGUUGUGAAAUGUUGGGUUAAGUCCCGCAACGAGCGCAACCCUUAUCCUUUGUUGCCAGCGGUCCGGCCGGGAACUCAAAGGAGACUGCCAGUGAUAAACUGGAGGAAGGUGGGGAUGACGUCAAGUCAUCAUGGCCCUUACGACCAGGGCUACACACGUGCUACAAUGGCAUAUACAAAGAGAAGCGACCUCGCGAGAGUAAGCGGACCUCAUAAAGUAUGUCGUAGUCCGGAUUGGAGUCUGCAACUCGACUCCAUGAAGUCGGAAUCGCUAGUAAUCGUGGAUCAGAAUGCCACGGUGAAUACGUUCCCGGGCCUUGUACACACCGCCCGUCACACCAUGGGAGUGGGUUGCAAAAGAAGUAGGUAGCUUAACCUUCGGGAGGGCGCUUACCACUUUGUGAUUCAUGACUGGGGUGAAGUCGUAACAAGGU